CAAAUAUAUAUAUAUAUAUGCAUAUAUAUAUAUGCAUAUAUAUAUAUACACACAUAUAUAUGCAUAUAUAUAUAUACACACAUAUAUAUGCAUAUAUAUAUAUA
rnacentral:miRNA from 14 species